AGACAUCAGAUAAAUCUGCGCUU
rnacentral:miRNA from 1 species